rnacentral:rRNA from 1 species
AAUGGGCGCAAGCCUGAUCCAGCCAUGCCGCGUGUGUGAAGAAGGCCUUCGGGUUGUAAAGCACUUUUGUGGGGAGGAAGGNCAGUNGGUUAAUACCUUGUUGUUUUGACGUUACCNACAGAAUAAGCACCGGCUAACUCCGUGCCAGCAGCCGCGGUAAUACGGAGGGUGCAAGCGUUAAUCGGAAUUACUGGGCGUAAAGCGAGCGUAGGNGGUUUUUUAAGUCGGAUGUGAAAUCCCCGGGCUCAACCUGGGAACUGCAUUNGAAACUGGCUAGGCUAGAGUCCGGUAGAGGGGUGGUUGGAAUUCCUGGUGUAGCGGUGAAAUGCGUAGAUAUCNGAGAGGAACACCGGUGGCGAAGGGCGGCCCCCUGGAC